AAUUAGAAUUGUUUAUUUUUUCAGGGAGCUCAAGAACCUUACCCUGUUUUAAAAGUUUUUUGCAAUAGCCUAUAGUGCACGAGCAAACUAAAAAAUACAUUAUCCGCCAGAGGUGUAACUCACUGUCGCUUGCAUUGCUAAAGGCCACUAGUAUAUUUUAAGAUGACGUUAACUGUUGUCUGACACCAGUGUAUUUUUUGGCUAUUUUAAUAAUAUUUCAUCUUUACAUAAAUUGCAAUAUUGCGAUAUUUUUAAGUUUAAAAAUAAUUAUUAUUAUAAUUUAUACCAAUGAAUUCUUAGAUAACGCAGGGAAAACUCUCACAACCACGCCAAACAAGUCUACCAAGUAGGAUUCAUUUUUACCUAAUGGAGGAAAUUUGACUGCACUGUUUAAGUACAAGUUCAUGCAAGUAAUGGGGAAACUUUGUGUUGCGCCUGGAUGGCUUAGUGGCUACCGGCUAGCUUAGUCUGAGAAGAAGGAUCCUCCUCCGGCCAAAAGACGUUCCCAUAUUUUUUCCAAAGGAUAAGGAAUGAUAAAGUCUUUGAAUCAAAGCUCUGUCUUUUAACAAUUAGCCAUUAGGAGCUUUCAAAAUAUUCUGCUAUAUGUGACUCCAUUUUUUAUCUUCCGACUAUAAAAUUCAAUCUGAGGAUACGAGCAAUAUCGGCGUAAGGAUAUCUCUAUAAAAAUAUUAAACAAGGAUGCUACACCAACACACUUUCCAAACAUCCCCGCCUAUUUUCCCAAGCCAGCCAAAAUAGUGAAGAGUAAAGUAUUUCUCUCUUCGACUCGGAUCUUAAAAGAAAAUAUUAUGAAUAAAAUUCAUGUAUUCAAAAUGACCGAUAUUAUUUCUUCGAUAUCAAAACUAAAUUUAAAACUGGACAGAGCUCGUUUACCCGAUAGGUUUUAUGAGCGCUUUGACUCCAUUGAUCAGGCAUUGAUAUUUCAUAUUUUUAAAAUGUUGGAUUAACACGAAUUUUUCAUCGGAUUUUGUGCCAAUGUUAAUUUAGACUUAUCAAUUAGAAUGUGGUAAAGGAACUUUCAUUUAAACUACUGAAAAAUGUAAUUGACAAUAAUCAUAUUAAUGAGUGUGAUAUUUUAUUGAACAUACUGGACUAUUUGAAUUCCUUGUCUACUUCCGAUUUUGUUUCUGAAAAUUCAAUUGAAACCAAUGUUGAAGAGGAAAUAUAAUCAGUUAUUAAGCGUCUCCAAAACCUCAUUCCUCAUUUCACAAUUAUCCCUCCUUCUAAAAGAUUCUUUACAAAGGAGGUGCACCGUAUGGAUGUAUGCUUUGACUAUGUUAUGGAAAAGUUUUUAAACGUUUUUAUACAGAAAGAUCCGCAAAGAAGCCCUUAGUUUGUUUCAUUAGUCAACGAUCGCUGCACUUCGACAUUAUAGACAAAGAAAUGGUUAAAAAGAUUGUCACGGUGGACUUAUUGGGCAUAUCUUGGACGUGGUGGAUGAUUAUAAAUAUACGAUCCUCACGAAUUGGAAGUUACAAGAGAAAAGAAUGGAAAAAACAAUUACCAUGGACUGCUCUUAGCUUAACUUUUUUUAAAGAUUUCUCAUGUUUAAUGUGAAAGACUCAGAGACAAAGUAACAUUUAUCUCCUAAGAUACAUUUUUAGCUACUAAACAAGCAUCAACUGGACUAUAUAUAAUGUCUCAAAAAUUACUGGAUGAGGUCGAUAUCAACUAUUUUUGAUGGACAUAACCCUAAUAAAUUGCUGUUAUGUUUUUCAAACUUUUCAAAUUUAAAAAUAACCGCGCAAUAUCUAAUCAAAUGAAGUAUUUUUCAUGAUCCUUAUGCUUCAGGUAUUGCCAAAGUAGAAUGUGAGGAGAAUCAUACUUUAACUAAUAUUUUCUAAAUAUAGCAUGUAAAAUUUUCAACUGUAUGGCAAUAAAUAUUUCUAUGAGGUAAAUUAUAAAAUUCAUGAGAACAAGAAAAGAAUUGGAAUCAAUCUAAUAAAUCAAAGGAGUUUAAAAAAACUUAACAGGGAGUAAGCAAAAAGCCUUUAUGAUCAGAAUAUCUUCAAUGCUUCAAAUAAUUUGUAUUGUUUGUAAUGUUUAAACGCAAUAAAAAAUAAUUUGUUCUAAUAAAAAAAUGUAUUUCGAA
rnacentral:lncRNA from 1 species